UACGUAGGGAGCAAGCGUUGUCCGGAAUCAUUGGGCGUAAAGCGCGCGUAGGUGGCUUCGUAAGUCCGUUGUGAAAGUCAAAGGCUCAACCUUUGAAAGCCGAUGGAUACUGUGAAGCUAGAGUACGGAAGAGGCGAGUGGAAUUCCUGGUGUAGCGGUGAAAUGCGUAGAUAUCGUAAGGAAGACCAGUGGCGAAGGCGGGUCUCUGGACAGUUCCUGACGCUGAGGCACGAAGGUCAGGGGAGCAAACGGG
rnacentral:rRNA from 1 species